GCUAAGAUGGCAGAACCCGGUUAUUGCAAAAGACCUAAGCCCUUUCUAUGGGGGUUCAAGUCCCCCUCUUAACU
ensembl:Mt_tRNA